AAGAAGGGAUUGGCCUCUUAGGAGGGGUGAGAGGAGAGAGACCGGCGAUGGGGAGGGAUUGUGAUGCUGUGAAGAAGAAGCAGAAUCCAGCUGCUGAUGUGAACGGAGUUUUGAAAAGGUAGGGUUUUGAAGAGCAGGUGAAUUCGGGUACGAUUGGAGCAUUGUGGGAUUCAACUUGUUUCUUUAAAACUGCUAAUUGAUAGGAGAAAAUAUGUAAUAUCCCACAUCGGCCA
rnacentral:lncRNA from 1 species